UGAAGGUUAAACCCUUUAACUCUGCUUCAUCGGGACGCUUCCGGUUCUUCCAGCACCAUCUUCCACGUUUGUGCUGACGUAGUAUUAUCCUGAGGCUGCAGUCUCUGUGGGUGAACUGCUACCAACAGCCUGAAGAGGACCAUUCAUUUCCAUGUUUCCCCAUUCUUCUGAUCAAAAAUUCCAAGAAGCAAUUUUAAAUCCAUUGUGAAUGUGUUUAUAAACUGUUCAGAAAAGACACAAAGCAGAUGCAAAAGGUAGGGGUCUUCAUGCCAGUCACCACUGGAUUCAGAAUAAAGACAUCAC